rnacentral:pre_miRNA from 1 species
AAUAAGAUCAUUUUUCAGUUGUUAGAUAUAAUAUUUUGACUCUUCGUCUUAUUUGAAAUUUUUUGCGAGUAAUAUUUUUAUUGCUACAAGAUGAUAAAGCAUGAAUAGUACUUUAUGCGUGACUAUUUUUUAAAGUUUUUUAUAAUUUUUCAAUAAGACGAAUGGUCAAAUUUUAGACACAGAAAUCAAAAAAUAAAAUUAUU